CGGCGCCGGAGGAUGGGUCUGCGGCCUAUCAGGUAGUAGUGGGUCUAAUGUACCUACUAGCCUACGACGGGUACGGGUUGUGAGAGCAAGAGCCCGGAGAUGGAUUCUGAGACACGAAUCCAGGCCCUACGGGGUGCAGCAGGCGCGAAAACUUUACAAUGCCGGCAACGGCGAUAAGGGAACCUCGAGUGCCAGGUUACAAAUCUGGCUGUCGUGAUGCCUAAAAAGCAUUGCAUAGCAAGGGCCGGGCAAGACCGGUGCCAGCCGCCGCGGUAACACCGGCGGCUCGGGUGGUAACCGUUAUUAUUGGGUCUAAAGGGUCUGUAGCCGGCCGGAUAAGUCUCUUGGGAAAUCCAGCAGCUCAACUGUUGGGCUUUCAGGAGAUACUGUCUGGCUCGAGGCCGGGAGAGGUGAGAGGUACUUCAGGGGUAGGGGUGAAAUCUUGUAAUCCUUGAAGGACCACCAGUGGCGAAGGCGUCUCACCAGAACGGACCUGACGGCAAGGGACGAAAGCUAGGGGCACGAACCGGAUUAGAUACCCGGGUAGUCCUAGCCGUAAACGAUACUCGCUAGGUGUCGGCCACGGUGCGACCGUGGUCGGUGCCGUAGGGAAGCCGUGAAGCGAGCCACCUGGGAAGUACGGCCGCAAGGCUGAAACUUAAAGGAAUUGGCGGGGGAGCACUACAACGGGUGGAGCCUGCGGUUUAAUUGGAUUCAACGCCGGAAAUCUUACCGGGACCGACAGCGAUAUGAAGGCCAGGCUGAAGACUUUGCCGGAUUAGCUGAGAGGUGGUGCAUGGCCGUCGUCAGUUCGUACUGUGAAGCAUCCUGUUAAGUCAGGCAACGAGCGAGACCCACGCCCACAGUUGCCAGCGUACUCUCCGGAGUGACGGGUACACUGUGGGGACCGCCGCUGCUAAAGCGGAGGAAGGAAUGGGCAACGGUAGGUCAGUAUGCCCCGAAUAUCCCGGGCUACACGCGGGCUACAAUGGUUGGUACAAUGGGUAUCUACCCCGAAAGGGGAUGGAAAUCUCCCAAAGCCAAUCUUAGUCCGGAUUGAGGGCUGCAACUCGCCCUCAUGAAGCUGGAAUCCGUAGUAAUCGCGUUUCAACAGAACGCGGUGAAUACGUCCCUGCUCCUUGCACACACCGCCCGUCAAACCACCCGAGUAGGGUUUGAAUGAGGGCGCUUCCUCUGGAGGCGUUCGAAUUUGAGCUCUG
rnacentral:rRNA from 1 species